GCCCGUAGAAUACACCAGAAAAUCAACGUCUCUCUCUCCUCCCCAGGUUACCCCUCAAACUUAACUCUCUGUUUGGUUUCCGAGAAAAUAAAUAUAAACAAAAAGAAAUUGCAAGCGAGCAAUUCUCAGAUGUUAGCUUCGAAGUUGGCCAAUCUUCGGUCCAUGUGGUUGACCACAAAAUUGCAUUUCAGAACUUCCAAAAUACGAUGCCGAUUCAUAACAAGUGAGCUUAACUCAACAUUCAUUUUAACUUCAAGGGAACAGUGGGUUCUUGAGCAAUUCUGAGAUAGCUGAAGCAGAGAUGACAAAGUCGCAACCUGUUGCUGCAAAGGAGAAUUUGGACACAAGUUUGGUUUCUAACUACAAAUUGACAUCACAUUUGCAGAAGGAGCUUGAUAAUGUAUUGAUCAUAAGAAAUCAAAAGGAUUAGGAAAGUUUCCCAGUUUCAGUGAAGACGAAGGUUUAAUCAAGUAAAACAAUCAUAUAGCUUAAACAUGUAAGCGAUGCUGUCACGUCCUUUCUUGAGUUCUUAAAAUAUGUUUUAUGUUAAUACUAAGUAUUUCUCUUGGUGAUUCUCACUCGUAGGAAUGAGGAAACUAAUUUUGAGUAUUUGCAUAUGUUAAAAUUUACACUGUAUAGGCCAGUAAUUUCAUUUCUUUGCGUAUUAGCUACUUGAAUACUUGAAAAUUAUAUAAUCUGCUAUUGCUUA